rnacentral:lncRNA from 1 species
AAAAAAUCAAAAGCUAUAUGCUUUCAGAUCUAAAUACUUACAUUUUUCUAAUUAUUCUCAUGAAAUGUAAUCUAAUUUACUUUAAUUGCAGAUUUCGGGAAGUAGAAGAUAAAGACUGUCAGGAAAUAACAUUAGAAGUGAUAACAGCAGGAGCAAUAGGACCUAGGAGUUCCCAAAAGGAACAUGAAGGAUGUCAUGCCAAAAGGGGCAAAGAGCACAGUCCUCAACUAUGGAAAUAAUUGUGGGCCAAACUGUUAAUGGAAUUUGGGGUGCUGGAGUCUCCUAGAGUACCUGGGAUCGAACUCAGGACCUUGCACUUGGGAGGCAGGCAUGGUGCCACUGAGCUACAUCCCCAGCCCAGGUUUCUGCCCUUUACGUUAUCAACCAAGCUCAACUUUAAAUAUCUCUAAGAGAUUUUUGAUGUGAUGAGUCUGGAAGAAAAAACAAACCAGCCUAAGAAGCUUAAAGAAUCCUAUGAAGGGCAGAUAUGGAUAACAUUGGGUAUAGAGGAUAUUGCCCCUGCACAGGAAAAGCUGACUAAUACAAAGUAACACUGAGUUCCAUCCAAAAAAAGGGCAGCCAAGCAUGGGAACUAUGACUACAGGUUACCUACCCUUCUCACACUUUAUUUUGACAGGGUCUCACCGUAUAUUUGAGGCUGGCUUUGAACUCAUGAUGUAGCUCAGGCUGGACUCGAACUCGAAAUGAUCCUCCUGCCUCAGUUUCCCGUGUGCUCGGAUUACAGGACUUUGCAGCUCUUUGGCCCUAGUACAGAAGAUCAUCAGAGGCACACACGUUUGUUAGAACACAAGAGGUGGG